rnacentral:lncRNA from 1 species
CUUGUAGGCCGCUUUCAAAAAAAAAAGGAACCAUCAACUGAACAAUGUAUAUUGCCAAAGAAAUGUGAAUUUUACCUUCUUGUGUGAAUAGCCACAAAUACUAAUUUAACGUAAACUUAACUGCUAAAAUACACUGUAAAAAUUGUAUCUAGAUGAUAACAUUAAAUUUAAACAACCGGCAAACUAGCGCUUCGCAUCUUACUUAGAGUAUUCAUGAUAACAACUUGCUUCCCACCGAUCUGGUAUGCAAUACCGGUACUCCAAAGCAUAAGUAAAAGGGUGUCGUGUGUAAUAGGAAAUCAGCUUCUAUUGACGUUGAGAAACACUACAUGCCUUUUAUCGAUGGUUCGUUUGGAAGAAACAUAGCCCAACUGUAAAGCAAAUUUUUACAUUUCUGCCUAAUAUCAUAAAGUUCGUCAUUCUCUAAAUGCUCCAAAAAAGCAAUUCUCUUCAGGACCUUUGCCAAUUUAGUAGAAGUAAUCAAUUCGUAGUUCAGGAACGGGAUAUCACUUAUUGCGUUUAGAUAUUUACUGGCGUUAUAAAAAUCUUCUUCAACUAUCAAAUGAUCCGGCGAAAGAAAUGCUUUUUGUAGCUUAUGGCGAAAAAAAAGUAGUCGCUGCAUUAGUGCUUUCGUCUGGUCAUUCAAAGGUGAGGAAGGAGAUAUACGGCCCCUCUCUUGCGGGUUUUUUAAAGGUUGCUUUCCUUUUCCUUUUGCUUCUCCCCUAUGAUCAAAAUUACUUGAAAGUGGGUACCUUUGGUCACUUAACUGCGUAGAGCUACGAGAAGUCGAAGCGACAGUAGGACCAUACAUUUCAGAAAUAGAAGUUAUUGACAUCAAGGAUCCGCUGGAGAUACUCUCCGCAUCUGAUUCAUCAAGAGAUGUCUCCCAAUGAUAUUUUCUUUUUUGCAAAAAAUUAGGCUUCUCCUCAGCAGCUGAUAAGCUAUCCAUUUCCUCAUCGGUGGAAGAUUCCUCCUUUAAAUCAGGAGGAGUUUUUGAAGCCUCAUAAGCUUCAAUAAGUUCUUUAGACUUCCGCUUUGAGGAACCAAGAAAUUUGGCUAUUUCGGAAUCCAAUAAUGGCUUAACACUAUUUCUUUUCACCCAUGCAAAAUUGAAGUCAGGAAAAAACAAAACCUUAUAUAAGACAUUAAAUGAGCUAUUAGUAUUCAAACUAUCCUUAGUUUCUUUUCGUCUCAGUAGCAAGGCCGGCCACCAUGGAUAACCUGGGGCUUUUACCAAAAUUCGGUCACCAAAAUUUAGCCUGUCAUCUGCAGAAGCUUGUUCCAAAUUAUCCUUGCUUUCUUCAACAACACUGGGUAUAUUACUCUCUUUUCCUUCGGAUAUGCUUAAUCCCCCUUGUUUAGAAGAUAAUCUUCGUCUUUUUGCAUUAGUGCGGGCAUUAUUCAUUAUAGAAAACCACUUUCCUUAUUCUAAAUGAAAGGAGAUUAGCCUCAUGUAUUACUUUUAAUGUUUAACCACUCCCGUUUAAUGGGCAUGUGGGCAGUAGUCAGCAACCACUGUCAAUCUUUCUUAAAAGUAUAAGGAUAAAGACAAGUCAAUCAAAACUAAUAACGAGAUUAAUUUUACUUUACUAGAAAUCCUAUAGUAUGCUUGCUUUGGGGGUCAGCUAUACUUAGUAAUAAUAUUGUUUAAGACACCAG